CUCCGAGUGGGCCGGUGUGCUCCCCGGUCCCCCCGCCGCGAGGCGCCACCCCUGGCGUGUGGCUGGCACUGGUGCACCCCGCCUUCACCACACCCCCGGAAGUGGUGGAAGGGCUCUGUCCCACGAGCUGGCUCGGCAGAGUUAAUAAUACCAUAUCCUUCCUGAGGCUGAGUCCAAACUUAGGCUCUGGUUUUUCCUCUGUGUCAGCUGCCUGCCCAGCCAGUGCCACGUCGCGCAGGGAGCUCCGACUCCAACCUGCGCUCACCUCGGCUCUGUGCAGCUCUGGUUAACCGUUUCUGAGCCUGGGCAUGGGAGCCGAGGCUGCCCGUCCUACUGCAUGACAAUGCGUCAGUGGGCUGUGAGUGGAGAAAGCCAGACGUGUCGUCUCUAGCCUGGCUGUCUCGCAAACCUCCGCCUGCCACGGUUCCUCUUAAUGCUCACAAAAUGUGUCAAGUUCUUGCAUCAGCCGUGUGUUCAGGGACAGCGGGACGUGAAGACGGAUGGUAGUGCUCGGCUUCUGUCUUGCAGUUUAGACAUGGCAAUACUGGCCUUAACAGAGCCACCUUCAUGAAGCUCCUUUGGCAAACAGUAAUUAAUCUGUAGAUCACAGCUUAUAACAUAAUACUCAAAGAAGAAGAAACCUUGAAGCAUCCUUCUUAUGAACCACAUAUAUUUAUAAGGAUGCCAAAGAAGCUAUAGCAGUGGGAGGAAAUGUACACCCAGAAAACAGGAAACCAACACGGUGAAAUGCGGUUGCUGCAUUAACCACACCAGCCGCUGGGUGUCUCCAUUGCAUCACCCCACUCUAUCUCUGACGGAAGUUUCCAGUCAAAGAGAUGGAGAGCAAAGCUUUAUUCACAGUUUUCUUUCUUUAUACUUAAAAAUAUUUUUCACACGUAUGAGUGUUUUGAUCACAUAUAUUUGCAUCGUGUGCAUGCCUUGUGUCCGGGGAGGUCAGAAGAAAACAUCAGCUCCUCUGGAGCUCAAAUUAGGGACCUUGGUGAGCCUCCAGAAGGGUGCUGAGACUCAAACCCAGAACUCUGCAAGAACAAGUGCUCUGAACUGGUGAACUAUCUCCAGCAGCUUCACAGAAUUCUUAGUUAAGAAGACCCAGCAUUUUCCUGUCAGGUAGCCUAUUGAGAAACAGUUCUUCCUGUGUGUGUCAUAUUUUCUUUCAUUUUUUGAUAACUGGACACUUCAUUUGCCAAGGAGAGGAGACCUUUAUUGUAUCCAUUUGUAAAUUUGUAAAUGUAUUUUAAUAGCCCAAUAAUCAAAUAAAAACAUGAGACCACAUGCAGUUCUUUUAUACAAUUGGAAUUCUACAUUGCCUCUCACAGUCAAGUGUCAUCCAAGUAGCAGCGUUAUGCACAAGAAGAAAGCACCGUCACUUACAGAUGCCUUCAAAGCACACAGGAAGCACCUGGUGACCUGGAAAAGCUCCCUUCUCUCUUUUUAUCUUUCCUUUGCUGCCCUGUCUAAGCUAGGUUGGGCAGACAAGUUUUGAAGAAAGAUCAUUGUUUAAUACAGCUGUACUUUAACCCUGAAUCAUUCCAUUAGUAAAAGGGCAUUCUAGAAAUUACAUAAAUGGUAUGGUUUGAAGUACCCUUAAAUGUGAACUAUAAUUUAGUGUUGGCUGCAAGCUGAUUUACCUGUCUGCUCAGGGAAACUAAUGGAUGGUAAAGUCAGAUGAAAAGAAUUUGAAUUCCAACAGCAAUGAAAGCAGAAUUCAUUUUUCAUUCUAUAAACUAUAAAUAGAGGAACUAAACACAGAAUUUGGUGAUGACAGAACUCCAAGUGAGAAAUUGGAAUUUAAAUAUCAAGUUACCUUCUCAGAGAAAGACAGAGUUCCAAGCUGGAUAAUAUGUAGCUUUAGAUAAACUCAAACAGAUGAAGAAGUAAUGUAGGAUCCUAAGCACUAGGAUUGGAAAUUAUUUAAUACCAUGCAGCUCACAGAAUUAUCUGCAAAAGAGUAGAAUAAGGAAUCUGAUAGGCUGGCCAUAGAUAGAAGGUGAUCACAACCACCAUCUUACCCAAAGAGAAAGCCACAUGUAAACUUGAAGCUCUGGUCACAUAGGCCAGCCUUAGGGUGGAUUGAGUCACUUCUAUGGAUAAUACAUAUGGCAAUAGUAUUACAGUUCCUGCCCUCCCCCCAAAUCAAUGUGGCCAGAAUGUGGGAGCCAAGUGGCAACAGGCACAUCUACCUAUUAACUUCACUAUCUUCAGUGGCUUCUGGGAUCUUUCUGUGUUUUUGAAUGUCUUAUUGAAUCAGAUUCUUUGCAGUGGCUAGACUCCUUAGAAUAUUAUUGAAGUCUUGAAUGGGGUUAAAUUUAUAAUUUUUUUUACCAUAAGCAGAAUUAUAUUAAUAAAACUUGGAUUCAAAUAUGUUUA